UGGAAUAUAGCUCAGUGAUAAAGCACUUGCCUAUGAUGCAUGUGGCCCUGGGUUUGAUCUCCAGUGCCACAA
rnacentral:tRNA from 1 species